UUCCCAGAAUAUCCUUCUUGAAUUUCUAUCCCAGACUUGUCCCUAGGUUCCAAGUGGUUUGUUUGACAGCACCUUUUGGAUGCCUAAAGAAAUGCCACAGACAAGUUUAGUUGACACCUGAAUUCAAGGUCAAAUGGAGGAGGAGAGGAGGAGAAGGAGGAGGAGGAGGAGGAGGUGGCUACCAUCACAUUAAGCAACCAAACCCAUGGACAUUGUACUUGCUUUUGCUUUUGUCUGGAAUGACAUCAUGUUCUUCACACCUGCUGAUCCUCCAAACUGCCAGCUACUCAGAGAAGCCUUACUGACUCCUAGAUUGCAUCGGAUGUUGGCAUGAUAAACUCUUAUCACAUCUCCUAUACAAUACAAG
rnacentral:lncRNA from 1 species